CCGCGUAUGCAUAAAUUGAACCAGCAUUAUUAAAAGCGCUGCAAGUAAUAGGAUUAUUGCACCUAGACAUUUCCUUGAUUCUCUGUUUGCUAUCCUUGUCCCAGAAAUUGAAGACACCAUCAGAUCCGGCUGUUGCAAAUGUGCGAUGAACAGGAUGAAAAUUUAUUGAAUUGACCGAGUAUAUCUCCUGCCCCACUCUGUGGCAUUUAAAGGAGAAGAGGUUGAGAGCUUGUCUGUAGCCAAUAGGCAAAGGCAAUCAAGAUGCUUUUUGAAGCUGCACAUUGGAAAAACAUGUGUCCCCUUGUUUCCACCGGAUCCAACAAUCUGCCGAUGUUUGUGAUAACUGUUCCCAUAGCCAUAGGUAAGAUCAUUGCUCGGAAUAGGAUCAAAAAUUCUAUCUGCCGAUGUUUGUGAUAACUGCUCAAAAAAAAAAGUUGAACCUGACGUGAAUCGAACACGCAACCUUCUGAUCUGGAGUCAGACGCGCUACCAUUGCGCCACAGAUCCCUGGUUGUUGAUAGAAGUGUUCAGCUUUUUGAUAUAAAAAACCAACACGGUUAUUUCAUCGCAGUAGUACCAUUAAAACAGGGUGGGCUGAAUAUUACAGAAAAUACUUAUGGAAGAAGAUGAGGUAAGAAAAUUCGAUCAAUUCUCUAUUAAAAUUUGCUAUGAGUCUCUGUUAGGUGUCAUGGAAGAAUGUAAUUACAGCAAAUACUUAUGGAAGAAGUUCAUUCCCUCUAAGGUAAGUUUCUUGCUGUUGGCUGCAUUUAAUAAAUCUCUGCCUACUAGAGAGAUGUGUUGACUUUUAGAGGGAUGCAGAUAGAAACUACAGUUUGUGUUAUGUGUAAUAUGGCAGACGAAAAUGCAGAUCACCUGUUUCUUCACUGUCAAACUAAUUUCAAUGCCUGGAAAUACAUCAUCGAAGCUUUUCAUGUCUGCUGGCCUUUACCUCCCACUAUAAUGCAGUUAUUUGAAGCAUGGGAAUGGAAUGUUAUGACUGUUAAUAGCAGAAAGCUUUGGAAUAUAAUGCAUUAUGCACUGUUUUGGAUAAUUUUGGAGGAAAGAAACAGCAGGGUGUUUAGGGGAAGACACAAAUAUGUAUAAGAGAUCAUUAUUCACAUUAAACAGACUCUUAUAUUGUGGAGCUGUGAAAGAGAUACAUUUGGGAGCAAGCUAUUCACGUGUAAUCUAGUCUCUGGCUAGCUCUUGUAUCUGGUUGGAUUUUUCUUCUUGAUAUAAUCUUUUCUAUUCGGAAAAAAAAAAAUUGUC